CUACGGGCGGCACCAGUGGGGAAUAUUGCACAAUGGACGAAAGUCUGAUGCAGCAACGCCGCGUGGAGGAUGACACAUUUCGGUGCGUAAACUCCUUUUAUAUAGGAAGAUAAUGACGGUACUAUAUGAAUAAGCACCGGUUAACUCCGUGCCAGCAGCCGCGGUAGUACGGAGGGUGCAAGCGUUACUCGGAAUCACUGGGCGUAAAGAGCGUGUAGGCGGGUAGUUAAGUCAGAAGUGAAAUCCAAUAGCUCAACUAUUGAACUGCUUUUGAAACUGAUUACCUAGAAUAUGGGAGAGGUAGAUGGAAUUUCUGGCGUAGGGGUAAAAUCCGUAGAGAUCAGAAGGAAUACCGAUUGCGAAGGCGAUCUACUGGAACAUUAUUGACGCUGAGACGCGAAAGCGUGGGGAGCAAACAGGAUUAGAUACCCGAGUAGUC
rnacentral:rRNA from 1 species